CAGCAGACACAUUCCAGCCAAUCAGCAACAGACCCUCCCUCACAGACCCUCCCACCUCCUGGACAGCAUCAAUUUUACAUUCUUAGUGAGCUGUCCAGGAGGUGGGAGGGACUGGGAGGGAGGGUCUGCUGCUGAUUGGCUGGAAUGUGUCUGCUG